rnacentral:rRNA from 1 species
UACGUAGGGUGCAAGCGUUAAUCGGAAUUACUGGGCGUAAAGCGUGCGCAGGCGGUGAUGUAAGUCAGAUGUGAAAGCCCCGGGCUUAACCUGGGAACUGCGUUUGAGACUGGGAGACUUGAGUGUGGCAGAGGGGGGUGGAAUUCCACGUGUAGCAGUGAAAUGCGUAGAUAUGUGGAGGAACACCGAUGGCGAAGGCAGCCCCCUGGGUUAACACUGACGCUCAUGCACGAAAGCGUGGGGAGCAAACAGG